UCCAGCGGCUUUGCCGAGGGGGAAACACCCGUUCCCAUUCCGAAUACGGAAGUUAAGCUCCUCAGGGCCGAUGGUACUGCACGGGCAACUGUGUGGGAGAGUAGGUCGUCGCUGGGA
rnacentral:rRNA from 1 species